GAAACAUCUAAGUACCCGGAGGAAAGGAAAUCAAUUGAUACUCCCCUAGUAGCGGCGAGCGAACGGGAAACAGCCCAAACCAGCAUUGUUUCGGCAAUGUUGGGGUUGUAGGACUGUAAUGUGGACUUAAUAUUUAUAGUAGAAUCAACUGGAAAGUUGAACCAUAGAGAGUGAUAGUCUCGUAAACGAAAUAAAUAUUAUACCUAACAGUAUCCUGAGUAGCACGAAACACGUGAAAUUUUGUGUGAACCAGCCGGAACCAUCCGGUAAGGCUAAAUACU
rnacentral:rRNA from 16 species